UACGUAGGGUGCGAGCGUUAAUCGGAAUUACUGGGCGUAAAGUGUGCGCAGGCGGCACCGCAAGUCGAGUGUGAAAGCCCCGGGCUUAACUUGGGAAUUGCGCUCGAAACUAUGGUGCUGGAGUGUGGCAGAGGAAGGUGGAAUUCCACGUGUAGCGGUGAAAUGCGUAGAGAUGUGGAGGAACACCGAUGGCGAAGGCAGCCUUCUGGGCCAACACUGACGCUCAUGCACGAAAGCGUGGGGAGCAAACAGG
rnacentral:rRNA from 1 species